AUUUUUAUGGAGAGUUUGAUCCUGGCUCAGGAUGAACGCUGGCGGCGUGCCUAAUACAUGCAAGUCGAGCGAACGGACGAGAAGCUUGCUUCUCUGAUG
rnacentral:rRNA from 1 species